UUCCACGGUCUGGCAAGAUUGAAAUGUUCACUCACACAUGAUAGACGGGGGCUAGAGUCUUCGAGGGACCAUGGUGUGUGUGAUGGUGAUCCUGGAAGGUUGAAGAGGUCGCGCUACCUCAAGUUUCAUCCGUACACACGGUGUGUGUCCUGACGGGACUGGACUUUCAGUGAGCACAUCAUGAUACAGAUGACCUCGGCAGACACUUCUUGGGGACUACCACAGAGAUCCCGAGACAGGGCCAAGGAGAGAAGCAAUUCAUAUGUGAUUUGCCAUUGAAUUGUUGAGACUCUUUGAUCAGGCCACAGGAAAUCUAACCACUGCAGACCCUGGUCACAAUCAAUCCUCUUUUGAGUCCUACUUGUUUUUAUGUCCUAUGAAGCUACAGGAUCCUGAUACUUUUGGACUCCCCCCACCCCACACACACCCAAGGAAAGAGAGGAUCUAAGAACCGAAUCUCUUGAACCAGUGUCGAUACUUCUAGGCAGA
rnacentral:lncRNA from 1 species